rnacentral:lncRNA from 1 species
UGUACCACCACUCAUCUUUUGCAUUUGAGCUUGGGGAACUUUGUUUGUCGACAGGCUUUAUUAAACCUGUUGCUGACCGGCCACGCGACUCCUCAAGUCUUCAAUGGUACAUCACUAAACGAUGAGCAACACAAAGCACUCACCCAGCCUCUCCACGGGGUUCUGACUCGCAGUCAUGUCGGAUAUCUGCUCUGGAACAGAGAACAAGUCAACCAUGCACAGCUCCCCCUGGUGGGCAGCAUGCUGAAAACACCCAAGCUGCCUAUCUGGGUGUGCAACAUCAAUGGCACCUACAGUGUUUUAUUCAGCCCAAACCGUUCAUUGCUCUCUGACUGGAAAAUGGAGCAUCUUUUCCAGCUUUACUUCUACAAUGGCCAUCCAACUCAGCUCAACACAAUGCUCACCAUAGAUACACACUCCCAUCACUGGGAGGCUGAAAAUAAUGACAUUCAAGGAGACCCAGAAAAAAAGUUUCCAUCUGUAGAGAUGACCAUUAGGAC